rnacentral:rRNA from 1 species
UACGGAGGGUGCGAGCGUUGUCCGGAAUCAUUGGGCGUAAAGGGCGCGUAGGUGGCCCGGUCAGUCUUUGGUGAAAGCGCGGGGCUCAACCCUGCGUCGGCCAGGGAUACUGCCGCGGCUCGAGCACUGUAGAGGCAGGCGGAAUUCCGGGUGUAGCGGUGGAAUGCGUAGAGAUCCGGAAGAACACCGGUGGCGAAGGGCGGCCUGCUGGGCAGUUUAGCUGACACUGAGGCGCGACAGCGUGGGGAGCAAACAGG